rnacentral:misc_RNA from 1 species
CUUUCUUCAUCUUCACUUCUGGAAUCUAAACUCGAAGAAUCAGUCUGUUUGCGGCCCCUAGAAAAAAUUCCAGAGGCCAGCCUGGUCACAAAUCCUAGUGCAGCCAGGGGAAUAGACAGAGCCCCGUUCCUUCCUGAAUCUUCAGUGGCCAUGGCACCAUCUUCAUCUUCAAUACUGAUGUCAGUAGCAUUUGUUGUUCCAAGUUCCUCUUCUACGUUCCCAAGAGUCUCCCUUUCAUGAUCUUC